ensembl:snRNA U6 U6 spliceosomal RNA
UUGCUUCACAGCACAUAUCCUAACAUGAGAACAAUACAGAAAAGAUUAGCAUGGCCCCUCUGCAAGACUGACACAUAAUUCUUUGAAGCAGUUCAUAUUUUC